rnacentral:rRNA from 1 species
GGAUUAGAUACCCUGGUAGUCCACGCCGUAAACGAUGAGAACUAGCCGUUGGAUCUUAGAUUCAGUGGUACAGCUAACGCAUUAAGUUCUCCGCCUGGGGAGUACGGCCGCAAGGCUAAAACUCAAAUUAAUUGACGGGGGCCCGCACAAGCGGUGGAGCAUGUGGUUUAAUUCGAUGCAACGCGAAAAACCUUACCAACCCUUGACAUGUUCGUCGCGAGACUAAGAGAUUAGUCUCUUCAGUUCGGCUGGACGAAACACAGGUGCUGCAUGGCUGUCGUCAGCUCGUGCCG